rnacentral:rRNA from 1 species
GUGGGGAAUAUUGGACAAUGGGGGGAACCCUGAUCCAGCCAUGCCGCGUGUGUGAAGAAGGCCUUUUGGUUGUAAAGCACUUUAAGCGAGGAGGAGGCUACCGAGAUUAAUACUCUUGGAUAGUGGACGUUACUCGCAGAAUAAGCACCGGCUAACUCUGUGCCAGCAGCCGCGGUAAUACAGAGGGUGCAAGCGUUAAUCGGAUUUACUGGGCGUAAAGCGCGCGUAGGUGGCCAAUUAAGUCAAAUGUGAAAUCCCAGAGCUUAACUUGGGAAGUGCAGUCGAUACUGUUUGGCUAGAGUAUGGGAGAGGAUGGUAGAAUUCCAGGUGUAGCGGUGAAAUGCGUAGAGAUCUGGAGGAAUACCGAUGGCGAAGGCAGCCAUCUGGCCUAAUACUGACACUGAGGUGCGAAAGCAUGGGGAGCAAACAGGAUUAGAUACCCUAGUAGUCC